CCUCUAUGUACCACCGGUCGCUGCCUGGCAUUAUUGCAACCCGAAGGACUUGAGGUAUGCGCAUAAUAAGCACUCACCAUUACCAUACAUACCACCCUCUACCAAAGUGUUCUCCCUUCCACAUUGUUGCCUAUUUAUCCUAACUUAAACAUUAGAGGGUUCUCCACCGAAAACUCUCCGACAAGCGGACUUCUUGUAGGUUAUCUUUGAAGGAGAUCAACUUCCUACACCUUGUCCACCUCAAUUCUUAUUAACCUCAA
rnacentral:lncRNA from 1 species